AUUGAACGCUGGCGGCAGGCUUAACACAUGCAAGUCGAGCGGAGAUGAGGUGCUUGCACCUUAUCUUAGCGGCGGACGGGUGAGUAAUGCUUAGGAAUCUGCCUAUUAGUGGGGGGCAACAUUACGAAAGGAAUGCUAAUACCGCAUACGUCCUACGGGAGAAAGCAGGGGAUCUUCGGACCUUGCGCUAAUAGAUGAGCCGAAGUCGGAUUAGCUAGUUGGUGGGGUAAAGGCCUACCAAGGCGACGAUCUGUAGCGGGUCUGAGAGGAUGAUCCGCCACACUGGGACUGAGACACGGCCCAGACUCCUACGGGAGGCAGCAGUGGGGAAUAUUGGACAAUGGGGGGAACCCUGAUCCAGCCAUGCCGCGUGUGUGAAGAAGGCCUUAUGGUUGUAAAGCACUUUAAGCGAGGAGGAGGCUACUGAGACUAAUACUCUUGGAUAGUGGACGUUACUCGCAGAAUAAGCACCGGCUAACUCUGUGCCAGCAGCCGCAGUAACAC
rnacentral:rRNA from 1 species